GCGAUGCCGCGUGAGUGAAGAAGGCCCUUGGGUUGUAAAGCUCUUUCGUCGGGGAAGAAAAUGACUGUACCCGAAUAAGAAGGUCCGGCUAACUUCGUGCCAGCAGCCGCGGUAAUACGAAGGGACCUAGCGUAGUUCGGAAUUACUGGGCUUAAAGAGUUCGUAGGUGGUUGAAAAAGUUGGUGGUGAAAUCCCAGAGCUUAACUCUGGAACUGCCAUCAAAACUUUUCAGCUAGAGUAUGAUAGAGGAAAGCAGAAUUUCUAGUGUAGAGGUGAAAUUCGUAGAUAUUAGAAAGAAUACCAAUUGCGAAGGCAGCUUUCUGGAUCAUUACUGACACUGAGGAACGAAAGCAUGGGUAGCGAAGAGGAUUAGAUACCCUCGUAGUCCAUGCCGUAAACGAUGUGUGUUAGACGUUGGAAAUUUAUUUUCAGUGUCGCAGCGAAAGCGAUAAACACACCGCCUGGGGAGUACGACCGCAAGGUUAAAACUCAAAUGAAUUGACGGGGACCCGCACAAGUAGUGGAGCAUGUGGUUUAAUUCGAAGAUACGCGCAGAACCUUACCAACACUUGACAUGUUCGUCGCGACUCUAAGAGAUUAGAGUUUUCGGUUCGGCCGGACGAAACACAGGUGCUGCAUGGCUGUCGUCAGCUCGUGUCGUGAGAUGUUGGGUUAAGUCCCGCAACGAGCGCAACCCUCACUUUUAGUUGCCAUCAUUAAGUUGGGCACUCUGAANGAACUGCCAGUGAUAAGCUGGAGGAAGGUGGGGAUGACGUCAAGUCCUCAUGGCCCUUACGUGUUGGGCUACACACGUGCUACAAUGGUAUCUACAACAGGAAGCAAGA
rnacentral:rRNA from 1 species